rnacentral:rRNA from 1 species
GCAGUCGACGAUGAAGCUGGAGCUUGCUCCGGUGGAUUAGUGGCGAACGGGUGAGUAACACGUGAGCAAUCUGCCCUUGACUCUGGGAUAACUGCGGGAAACUGUAGCUAAUACCGGAUACGAGACUGAGAGGCAUCUCUCAGUCUGGAAAGAAUUUCGGUCAAGGAUGAGCUCGCGGCCUAUCAGCUAGUUGGUGAGGUAAUGGCUCACCAAGGCGACGACGGGUAGCCGGCCUGAGAGGGUGACCGGCCACACUGGAACUGAGACACGGUCCAGACUCCUACGGGAGGCAGCAGUGGGGAAUAUUGCACAAUGGGCGAAAGCCUGAUGCAGCAACGCCGCGUGAGGGAUGAAGGCCUUCGGGUUGUAAACCUCUUUUAGCAGGGAAGAAGCGAAAGUGACGGUACCUGCGGAAAAAGCACCGGCUAACUACGUGCCAGCAGCCGCGGUAAUACGUAGGGUGCAAGCGUUGUCCGGAAUUAUUGGGCGUAAAGAGCUCGUAGGCGGUUUGUCGCGUCUGCUGUGAAAAUCCGAGGCUCAACCUCGGACCUGCAGUGGGUACGGGCAAACUAGAGUGCGGUAGGGGAGAUGGGAAUUCCUGGUGUAGCGGUGGAAUGCGCAGAUAUCAGGAGGAACACCGAUGGCGAAGGCACAUCUCUGGGCCGUAACUGACGCUGAGGAGCGAAAGCGUGGGGAGCGAACAGGAUUAGAUACCCUGGUAGUCCACGCCGUAAACGGUGGGUGCUAGUUGUGGGUUCCAUUCCACGGAUCCGUGA